rnacentral:rRNA from 1 species
GAACAUGCAAGUCGAACGAGGUGGCCCAAAAAUAUUUGAUGACGUUUGAAGUGCUUGCACUGAUUUCUGAUUCAUUUGGCUUUGGAUUUCCACCUAGUGGCGGACGGGUGAGUAACACAUGGGUGACCUACCCUUAAGACUGGGAUACCUAUUAGAAAUGAUAGCUAAUACCGGAUAACACGUAUAUUCAUUUAUACGUUGAAAGGAGCCUUUUAAAGCUUCACUUUUUGGAUGGGCCUGUGGCGUAUUAGUUAGUUGGUGAGGUAAUGGCUCACCAAGACGACGAUGCGUAGCCGAACUGAGAGGCUGAUCGGCCACAUUGGGACUGAGACACGGCCCAAACUCCUACGGGAGACAGCAGUUAGGAAUAUUCGUCAAUGGGGGAAACCCUGAACGAGCAAUGCCGCGUGAAUGAUGACGGCCCUAUGGGUUGUAAAAUUCUGUUGUAUAGGAAAAACGAUAAGAUUAGGAAAUGAAUCUUGUGUGAUGGUACUAUACCAGAAAGCUCCGGCUAACUACGUGCCAGCAGCGGC